UUUUUGAAGGCUGAAUACUGAACAGAUAGUCGUCUUCCACGGCGUUUUUCUCGUCUCCGGUGUGGACAGAAGGAAGUUUUGCUACGAAACAGAUCAGAAGUUUCUGGCACCACUUCAGCUUCUUCCACGGAGACGAGCAUAAGGUCUAAUGACAGUGAUGAUGAUCCUGAUGAAGGCCACAAGCCGAAAUGUGUCAGUGGAGCAGCAAAGUUUUCUAAAUCAUUCAAAUGUUUCUCGAGCUCUAACUUUCUAUUUCCUUAUUGCUUCAGGACUGUGUGUUGAUUUCACUGACAGCUUAUUUAUUAAUAAGUAAUUAUUAAUAUUAUUGUUGAAAACAACUCCAAGAGGUAAGUUUAGUUUUAUAGAAGAGAACAGUCUCUCUGACAGGUCAAUAUCUACAAAUAUACAAACAAAUUAAAUCUGCAUCUGAAGAUGACAGUCAGCAAUGCGGCUCAAUUUUUAAAAAAAAUUAAUAUGAAAAUAAAAGAAUGAAUCUGAACUUUUAAUGUGACUCUUUCCUUAUGUGUUUAAAAUGUCUGAAUGAUUAGUGCUUACUGCUUUUCUUGAAAUCUCAACACAGAAAAAGAAUAAAAACUAAAUGUGAAAUUUGA